GACGAACGCUGGCGGCGUGCCUAAUACAUGCAAGUCGAACGCAGUGGGGACGGGUGAGUAAAACGUGGGUAAUCUCCCAUCAGAGGGGAUAACACUUGGAAACAGGUGCUAAAACCGAUACUGAUGGAUGGACCCGCGGUGCAGUAGCUAGAUGGUGAGGUAACGGCCCACCAAGGCGACGAUGCAUAGCUGACCUGAUGGGGUGAUCGGCCGCACGGGAACUGAGACACGGCCCAGACUCCUACGGGAGGCAGCAGUAGGGACUCUUCUGCAAUGGACUCAAGUCUGACCGAGCAACGCCGCGGGAGUGAAGAAGGUUUUCGGUUCGUAAAGCUCUUUUAUUAGAGAAGCGGUAUCUAACCAGAAAGCCACGGCUAACUCCGUGCCAGCAGCCGCGGUAAUUC
rnacentral:rRNA from 1 species